rnacentral:tRNA from 1 species
UCCCUGGUAGCUCAGAUGGUAGAGAAUCUGCCUGCAAUGCAGGAGACCUGAGUUCAAUCCCUGGGUGGGGAA